rnacentral:rRNA from 1 species
UGCCAGCCGCCGCGGUAAUACGGAGGGGGUUAGCGUUGUUCGGAAUUACUGGGCGUAAAGCGCGCGUAGGCGGAUUAGUCAGUCAGAGGUGAAAUCCCAGGGCUCAACCCUGGAACUGCCUUUGAUACUGCUAGUCUUGAGUUCGAGAGAAGUGAGUGGAAUUCCGAGUGUAGAGGUGAAAUUCGUAGAUAUUCGGAGGAACACCAGUGGCGAAGGCGGCUCACUGGCUCGAUACUGACGCUGGGGUGCGAAAGCGUGGGGAGAAAAAAGGUUUAGAUA